GACGAACGCUGGCGGCGUGCCUAAUACAUGCAAGUUGAGCAAUGAAGAUUGGUGCUUGCACCAAUUUGAAGAGCAGCGAACGGGUGAGUAACGCGUGGGGAAUCUGCCUUUGAGCGGGGGACAACAUUUGGAAACGAAUGCUAAUACCGCAUAACAACUUUAAACAUAAGUUUUAAGUUUGAAAGAUGCAAUUGCAUCACUCAAAGAUGAUCCCGCGUUGUAUUAGCUAGUUGGUGAGGUAAAGGCUCACCAAGGCGAUGAUACAUAGCCGACCUGAGAGGGUGAUCGGCCACAUUGGGACUGAGACACGGCCCAAACUCCUACGGGAGGCAGCAGUAGGGAAUCUUCGGCAAUGGACGAAAGUCUGACCGAGCAACGCCGCGUGAGUGAAGAAGGUUUUCGGAUCGUAAAACUCUGUUGGUAGAGAAGAACGUUGGUGAGAGUGGAAAGCUCAUCAAGUGACGGUAACUACCCAGAAAGGGACGGCUAACUACGUG
rnacentral:rRNA from 1 species